rnacentral:rRNA from 1 species
GACAGAGGGGGCAAGCGUUGCUCGGAAUCACUGGGCGUAAAGGGCGCGUAGGCGGGAUGGCAAGUCGGUCGUGAAAUCCUUCGGCUCAACCGAAGAACGUCGGCCGAUACUGCCGUUCUUGAGGGAUGCAGAGGAGAUUGGAAUUCCCGGUGUAGCGGUGAAAUGUGUAGAGAUCGGGAGGAACACCGGUGGCGAAGGCGGCUCUCUGGGACGGUACUGACGCUGAGACGCGAAAGCGUGGGGAGCGAACAGG